AGCCAAUUAGCUCCCAAAAGGCCUCGUGUUAUACGGAUGUGGGCAUGUACAUAUAAGGCACAUCACCCCUAUCCGUUGAUCGAUGUGGGAUGUUACAAUCCACCCCCUUAAAGGCCCAACGUCCUCGUCGGCACACUCACACAUAAUGACAUAGUGGCUCUGAUACCAUUCUGUCACAUCCCGACCCAGGCUCGACUUGCACUUCAAAUCACCUUUUCACAAAUAUUACCAAUCCAUGAAUCAAUUCACAUUUAAUAAAAUAGAUCAAUGGCCAAUUAUAAAAGAAUCACAUUUUAACAGAAAACACAUUUAUAAAACCAAGUCACAUUUUAACAGAAAACACAUUUAUAAAACCAAGUCACAUUUUAACAGAAAACACAUUUAUAAAAUCAAGUCAUAUCCACAAAGGAUAUUAAUAUAAAGAAUCGGGUGAUCACCAUAUCACAUAUAUUAAAGUCACUCACCCGAGCUUCAUAGCUUAUCCGAGUGUCUGAUUUGCCCAGUGCGUCAUCUCCUUGAUGUAGGCAUGAUUGUACAUAUAACAGGUCUAGGUAGAUUACGAGAAGCAACUUGGUAUUUUAGUUUCGUUGAGUGGUCCAGAACCUGAGAUAGUUAGAUUCCAUUGAGUGGUGCAGAAUCCUUGCUCUUACUCAUUUCCAUAAGGUUACUCUAGAACCCUAGGUUCGAGCAAAUGGGAAUUAGAUAUUGUGAAUGUAAAUUAGAAUUACCAUGUUUAUUACUCAUAAUCCAAGUAGGGAAUUAUAUAGAGUUCCUUAGUUAAACUCGUGAAAUGAGAAGUUAUCGCAUUGAUUGAUUAACGUAAAUAUAUGCUAAGAUAUGCAUUUUGAUUCAUGAAUUGAUUAAUUGAAGGGGUUGCAGAAUGACUUUGGAUAUAGAUGUUAUUAUUAUGAUUAUUUUAGUUGAUCAAUGUGGCUUGAGAAGAAUAUUGUGCUUCGUCAUUGGUUAUUUGACAUAUUGCAUGGUAUGCAUGGUGAUAUAUUGUUGAGACAUAGCAAUUUAUGUCAUGGAUGUUCUAGUGUAGUGAAAUGACGAACUACGAUGGCUUGAUCCUUAUUGAGGGUAUGUUGGCAGUCUAACGGGAGGUUAGAUGCAGCCAUAAAGUGUACGAAAAAUUACUACACAAUUCGAGGCUUGGGAUGUGCUUGGUACAUAUUCCAGAGGCGGGUAUAUUAGAUAUACGGUUAUUUGAUGAUGUCACGUGUCAAUCAUGGACGUAUGUUAGGAUCUGGGCGUGACAUGAGUCCCCAAAAGGCCUCGUGUUAGGAAAAGGCGGGCAUGUACAUAUGAGGCAUAGAGGAUCCACUUCCCUAGGCGAUGUGGGAUCUAACACUCAGUGUCGCUUGUAGACUGGACAUAGCUCAUUGCCUUACAGCUUCAGCCGCGGCUUCUUGAACAACCCAUGCGUUCACAACUUCUUCAUCUAGCCCGACAUCCACCUCUUCAGUGUUGCCUUGGGUUGCGAGUUCAAAAUAACCAAGGGAAGGCUUAGUGGAAGAACAAAUUAUAAAAGCAUCAUAAAAUAAGUUAAGACAAUGAAGAUUACCUAUUAGAAGAAGCUGGUUCUUUUGAUGGAUCAUCUCUUUCCAGCUCUCAAGCUC
rnacentral:lncRNA from 1 species